rnacentral:piRNA from 1 species
UCCAAAGGUGACGUCACAAUUGAGUU